CAGUAGCCGCGGGAAUACAGAGGGUGCGAGCGUUAAUCGGAUUUACUGGGCGUAAAGCGUGCGUAGGCGGCUUCUUAAGUCGGAUGUGAAAUCCCUGAGCUUAACUUAGGAAUUGCAUUCGAUACUGGGAAGCUAGAGUAUGGGAGAGGAUGGUAGAAUUCCAGGUGUAGCGGUGAAAUGCGUAGAGAUCUGGAGGAAUACCGAUGGCGAAGGCAGCCAUCUGGCCUAAUACUGACGCUGAGGUACGAAAGCAUGGGGAGCAAACAGGAUUAGAGACCCCCGUAGUCCCUGUCUCUUAUAA
rnacentral:rRNA from 1 species